GCUUGGAAUACAUCCAGGAGCACCAUGUAAGUUCCCUGUUCUCAGGGUUUACAUUCUGGAAGUGCACCAUGGACCUCUGCCAGCUGUUAAAAUGAGAUGUGCAUAGCCCAAUCCAAGGAUGAACUUGAGUUGGCAUGACCUGAAGUGCAGACAUUUUAGGAAUCCUCUCACCAAAGGCAAAGAAAGACCCCAAACAAUGUAUUUGGAAAUCUGUGUGCUGUUUACAUCUUGCGACAGGGAGGAGAUACUGAAACUCCCACCAAGUCUACUCUAUGCACGUAGACCCCAGACCAGUUAGAACCAAAAGGCUGUUGAUGUUGACUCCCGGUUACCUCACCACCAACCAAUCAGAAGAAUGUCCACAAGCCAAUCACUCACCCCUCAACCCUCUCCUCAGUGAGUAGUCCUUUUCCUCUUUUCCC